GAACUGGAAAAAAAAAAAAUAAAUGCUUGCUUGCAGAGUGACAGAGUAGUAUCUCGUGCCUGUUUUUUCUUCUUCUACAAGAGUAAGAGAGCGCGUGUACAUGGGGAAACAUAUACACAUAUUAGACAUAAAAUAUAUUUUUUUUAAAGUUGCUGUGAUUCUGCUCUUGGUCAGACACAACAGGUGCACUGCCAAUAUGUUUUCAAAUUAUUCCUCAGGAUUACAUCAUCUGAAUCACUCUUGACAGCCAUCAAAGAUUACGUGUCAAUGAGCAGAUCCACAGCAGCAAGAAAAAAACUGAGCGAAUCACAGGCCAUCUGUGUUCGGAAUUAUUCAUUCAGCCUUGAAGCAAUAAUGUACAACUGCAUUACUUCAAAAGACCACAGCUUAGAUUUCUUAUGCAGAGAAUGAAUGCUGUGAAUGCCGUGUACCAACCAAGGAUAUUUUCCUGGUCAUCUCAAGGGCCAGUGUGACUGUAAACCAAGAAGAAAACUCUAACAGCCAAGAAUUACAGCUGUUG